rnacentral:rRNA from 1 species
GAUGAACGCUGGCGGCGUGCCUAAUACAUGCAAGUCGAGCGAACAGAUGAGGAGCUUGCUCCUCUGACGUUAGCGGCGGACGGGUGAGUAACACGUGGAUAACCUACCUAUAAGACUGGGAUAACUUCGGGAAACCGGAGCUAAUACCGGAUAAUAUAUUGAACCGCAUGGUUCAAUAGUGAAAGACGGUUUUGCUGUCACUUAUAGAUGGAUCCGCGCCGCAUUAGCUAGUUGGUAAGGUAACGGCUUACCAAGGCAACGAUGCGUAGCCGACCUGAGAGGGUGAUCGGCCACACUGGAACUGAGACACGGUCCAGACUCCUACGGGAGGCAGCAGUAGGGAAUCUUCCGCAAUGGACGAAAGUCUGACCGAGCAACGCCGCGUGAGUGAAGAAGGUUUUCGGAUCGUAAAGCUCUGUUGUAAGAGAAGAACGGGUGUGAGAGUGGAAAGUUCACACUGUGACGGUAUCUUACCAGAAAGGGACGGCUAACUACGU